rnacentral:lncRNA from 1 species
AUAGUCCCUGUAAAUCUUGCCACACCCUUCAAGUAUCAUCCACUAUGCAGCCACCUUGCUGGACAAAGGGUGCCCUCUGAGAUCCUGAGAAAAGGCCACAAUGACUUCUGGCUGGCAACUCCAUCAUGCCUUUUAUUCAAAGGCUGCAGUGGCUAAUACAAAGAGAGGCCAGCAGGGUAGUAAACAAUCCCUAAAUUGAGAGCCUGGGAACUCAGAGAGCCUGACCAGCAUCUUGCCCUAAGCAGUCCUGCCCUGUGCUCCAACCUAAUGGGAUCUCUGAAUUCUCCUUGGGCUUUCCAGGCAGCAGAGGAACUUGGCAGGCAGUCUGUAGGGAACCCCAGAGAGAGCUGGCUUCCCCUUCUGCCACAUAAGAACCCAGUGAGAAGGCAGCCAUCUCUGAGGAAAGCCAGCCUUCACCAGACAAUGAAUCUGCCAGCACCUUGAUCUUGGACUUACCAG